UACCAAGCUACAAAGAGCCAACGGUGGAUGCCUUGGCGCCUAGAGCCGAUGAAGGACGUGGAUGGCUGCGAUAAGCCACGGGGAGCUGCCUAUCAAGCUUCGAUCCGUGGAUGUCCGAAUGGGGAAACCCACCGGAGCGUCUGACGACUCCGGUACUCCCGCCUGAACACAUAGGGCGGGCAGAGGGAACCAGGGGAAUUGAAACAUCUCAGUACCCUGAGGAAAAGAAAGCAACAGCGACUCCCUGAGUAGCGGCGAGCGAAACGGGAAGAGCCUAAACCGUGCCGGUGCAAGAGCCUGGUGGCGUUGCCGGUGCGGGGUUGUGGGAUCUGAUGGGAGACGCACCAGAGUCUCCACGGAGUUACAAAGCUGAUAGUUAGCAGAAGCGUUUUGGAACGUCGCACCGCAGAGGGUAAGAGUCCCGUAUGCGAAAACUAGCAGUCUCCGUUCAGACACCCGAGUAGCGCCGGAACCGUGAAAGUCGGCGUGAAUCUGCGAAGACCACUUCGUAAGGCUAAGUACUUCUAGGCGACCGAUAGUGAACUAGUACCGUGAGGGAAAGGUGAAAAGCACCCCGGGAGGGGAGUGAAAUAGUACCUGAAACCGUUGGUUUACAAGCAGUCAGAGCGUCGUCAUGGUCUUCGGAUCAUGGCCGCGAUGGCGUGCCUUCUGAAGAAUGAGCCAGCGAGUUACCGUACGUGGCAAGGUUAA
rnacentral:rRNA from 1 species